GAAAAUUUGGAGCAUCCGCUUCAAACACACCGUGUGCACUGUUAGCUGUCUCUGGCAGACCAGAGAGGGGUCCGCAUCAUUGCUGGCACCUCUCCCUGCCGACGGAAGGGGGUCCUCCCCGGGGGAUCCUUCCAUUUGAACAACUCAUGUCUUUGCUUUCUGUCUGAAGUAUCUUCACCUUUGUGUGGAAAAUCUAAAA
rnacentral:misc_RNA from 1 species